rnacentral:lncRNA from 1 species
UAACGGUCAGAUGAAAAUGCCUCCUGUUGCAGCUAAGGACCAGAAGAAGUCUGUUAAGUUUGCGGAAGAUGAUGACGAUGAGUUUAGUGAGGAUGAUUAUGAUGACGAGGACUUCAGUGAGGAUGAUUAUGAUGAUGAUGAGUUCGAUGAUGAUGAAGAUGACGAUGAGGAGAUGGGAGGACAUGGAGGAGGUAAUCACAUGCCUCCUAAUAAGAUGAUGAUGCCUAACAAAUUGCCUCAGAUGGGUGGUGGUGCUGGACCCAAGGGGCCUAAUGAGAUAAUGAUGAUGAUGAAUGGGUUCAAAGGCGGUGCUGGCGGCGGCGGAGGAAAGAAAGGCGG